rnacentral:rRNA from 1 species
CCCUUAGAUGUUCUGGGCUGCACGCGCGCUACACUGACGCACGCAACAGGUGCCUGCUCCGAGAGGACUGGGUAAUCAUUUGAGUGUGCGUCGUGAUGGGGAUAGAAUAUUGUAAUUAUUACUCUUCAACGAGGAGUUCCUAGUAAGCGCCAGUCAGCAGCUUGCGCUGAUUACGUCCCUGCCCUUUGUACACACCGCCCGUCGCUCCUACCGAUGGGUGAUCCGGUGAAUGAUUCGGACUUCAGCGGCUCCCCUGGGGUGCGCCGGAGAAAGUUUUGUGAACCUUAUCACUUGGAGGAAGGAGAAGUCGUAACA